rnacentral:RNase_P_RNA from 1 species
CGAAGAGGAGCAGGCGAUCGCCGGCUCCGGCGCUUCUGCGGCCCCGAGCGGCGCAGACAAGGCCGGGGCGGGAGGAAAGUCCGAGCUCCGCAGGGCGAGGUGCCAGGUAACGCCUGGUGAGAGCGAUCUCGAGGAGAGUGCCACAGAGAACAGACCGCCUCCGGUCGCGUCGCGAGGCGCGGACGGCGGCAAGGGUGAAACGGUGGGGUAAGAGCCCACCGCGCGGCCGGUGACGGACGCGGCACGGCAAACCCCACCUGGAGCAAGGCCACGUAGGGGAGCGACGCGCGUGAGCGCGAGAGGGCGGCCCGCCCGAGCUCCCGGGUAGGCUGCUGGAGGUGCCCGGCGACGGGCGCCCUAGAGGAAUGAUGCGCCGCCGCGGCGAGGGCGACCGAUCCGCGACACAGAACUCGGCUUACGCGCCUCUUCGACCA